rnacentral:rRNA from 1 species
UAGGGAAUCUUCGGCAAUGGGGGCAACCCUGACCGAGCAACGCCGCGUGAGUGAAGAAGGUUUUCGGAUCGUAAAGCUCUGUUGUAAGAGAAGAACGUUAGUAAGAGUGGAAAGUUUACUAAGUGACGGUAUCUUACCAGAAAGGGACGGCUAACUACGUG